GAUUACAGCUGCUAAUUUUGGCAUGUCCUUUUGGUUAAUCAUUGCUUUUGAAGUUGCCCUGGUCUUAGGUCAAGAUAAUUUUGAGCUACUUGGCGACGACCAGGUUUUGCUGUACACAUAAAUCAAUGUCUUUCAGUUAGAAAGAUACACGGAAAUGGUAUAUCACACCUGUGGGGUAUAUAUAAGCACAUAUAUGCAUGUAUUUCACGUCACUAAUCGGUGGUUUUGGUGCAGCAGCAGCAGCACGAACUGGAUGGCUCCGCAUCCCUCAGAGGCUCCCGGUAGCCGCCGCCAUUUCCUCUUGGUGGCCUCUUGAGGCCUGCCUGCUUGCUCAGGACCAUGAUGGCAGCAGAGCUGCCACACGAGGCUGCUGGUCACCCCAAGGGGCCAGUGCAGAGAAGGUGGACACUAAUGAAUGACUGCAGUGCUGCCCUGAGUGAGGGGGUCCCCACUAUUAAAAGUUUAAUAGAAAGAUCUGAGAAGCUGGGAGCCAAGAGGAGGAGGAGGGGACAAGGAGCUGUGAGUAACUCGGUAAGUGCCUUCUCUGUUCCUUUGCUGCAGUGGAGAUUAUACCAUCCAUUAGGACAGGAGCAACUGGAGAGAGGUCAGUUCCCUCUGCUUUCUCCUUUUGCCUUCAAUCUCACCACAAGCUGUUGAAACUGCAAAAAUAUGUCGGUUCCUUUCCACUGUAAAAUCUUGGAAAGCAGCAGGAAUAUGGCCCAUCUGAAAAAGGAGCUAAUUCAAAUUUCC
rnacentral:lncRNA from 1 species